rnacentral:rRNA from 1 species
CCUACGGGUGGCAGCAGUGGGGAAUAUUGCACAAUGGGCGCAAGCCUGAUGCAGCCAUGCCGCGUGUGUGAAGAAGGCCUUCGGGUUGUAAAGCACUUUCAGCGGGGAGGAAGGCGGUGAGGUUAAUAACCUCAUCGAUUGACGUUACCCGCAGAAGAAGCACCGGCUAACUCCGUGCCAGCAGCCGCGGUAAUACGGAGGGUGCAAGCGUUAAUCGGAAUUACUGGGCGUAAAGCGCACGCAGGCGGUCUGUCAAGUCGGAUGUGAAAUCCCCGGGCUCAACCUGGGAACGGCAUUCGAAACUGGCAGGCUAGAGUCUUGUAGAGGGGGGUAGAAUUCCAGGUGUAGCGGGGAAAUGCGUAGAGAUCUGGAGGAAUACCGGUGGCGAAGGCGGCCCCCUGGACAAAGACUGACGCUCAGGUGCGAAAGCGUGGGGAGCAAACAGGAUUAGAUACCCGAGUAGUC